AUGGCUCAGUGCUCAGUGGUUAAGAGCACUGGCUGCUCUUCCAGAGGACCUGGGUUCAAUUCCCAGCAUCUAUA
rfam:Mesocricetus auratus contig176282, whole genome shotgun sequence.